rnacentral:rRNA from 1 species
UGGCUUUUGGGCUGUCGCAGAUGGAUGAGCCUGCGUUGGAUUAGCUAGUUGGUGGGGUAAGGGCCUACCAAGGCUACGAUCCAUAGCUGAUUUGAGAGGAUGAUCAGCCACAUUGGGACUGAGACACGGCCCAAACUCCUACGGGAGGCAGCAGUGAGGAAUAUUGGACAAUGGGGGCAACCCUGAUCCAGCAAUGCCAUGUGUGUGAAGAAGGCCUUAGGGUUGUAAAGCACUUUAGUUGGGGAAGAAAGCUUUGAGGUUAAUAGCCUUGAGGAAAAGGACGUUACCCAAAGAAUAAGCACCGGCUAACUCCGUGCCAGCAGCCGCGGUAAUACGGGGGGUGCAAGCGUUAAUCGGAAUUACUGGGCGUAAAGGGUCUGUAGGUGGUUUGUUAAGUCAGAUGUGAAAGCCUAGGGCUCAACCUUGGAACUGCAUUUGAUACUGGUAAACUAGAGUACGGUAGAGGAAUGGGGAAUUUCUGGUGUAGCGGUGAAAUGCGUAGAGAUCAGAAGGAACACCAAUGGCGAAGGCAACAUUCUGGACCGAUACUGACACUGAGGGACGAAAGCGUGGGGAUCAAACAGGAUUAGAUACCCUGGUAGUCCACGCUGUAAACGAUGAGUACUAGCUGUUGGAGUCGGUGUAAAGGCUCUAGUGGCGCAGCUAACGCGAUAAGUACUCCGCCUGGGGACUACGGCCGCAAGGCUAAAACUCAAAGGAAUUGACGGGGACCCGCACAAGCGGUGGAGCAUGUAGUUUAAUUCGAUGCAACGCGAAGAACCUUACCUGGUCUUGACAUCCUGCGAUCUUUCUAGAGAUAGAUUGGUGCCUUCGGGAACGCAGUGACAGGUGCUGCACGGCUGUCGUCAGCUCGUGUUGUGAAAUGUUGGGUUAAGUCCCGCAACGAGCGCAACCCCUAUUGAUAGUUACCAUCAUUAAGUUGGGUACUCUAUUAAGACUGCCGCUGA